rnacentral:tRNA from 16 species
CCGCCCUUAGCUCAGACGGAUAGAGCAACGGCCUUCUAAGCCGUAGGUCACACGUUCGAAUCGUGUAGGGCGGGCCA